UCCCGCGCUCCCUCUGCUGCGUUCCCGCUCUGCCUGCUUUUUUGUUCUGAGCCACUUGGUUGUCUACUAAUAUGCUCUCUUGCACAAACCGUGAUGUGGUUUUCAGGGACAUCUCUAGCUCAGCAUUGGUUCUGAAGUUGCUUGAUUACCCUAAAUGUCAUGUAAUUUCUAUACUGACACCUCAAUAUACAACUAGAGAAUUGAUGUGUUCGUUUUAUCACUCAUCAAACUUUGGGAAACUUAAAAGCAAUUUGACAUUUGUUUUGCAUGGGAGGAAAUCUGAUAUGAUUACUUAUUGGCUUUAUCACACCAAUGAGUUUUUACUGAGAAAGUGCAGUCUGUGGCAGGGGGACCUUUCAGAGACCUUUGAAACCCUACACUCUCACACACAGAGAUGUGCACGUGCAGGAGCCUUCCCUUAUUUUGCACCCUUUUGGUGGCCUGAGGAGGAGCAGGAGCUGAUGACAAGCUGGUGCAACAGAGUGGCAUGUCUUGCUGGGCAGCCUCAGCUGGAGUUUCAGCGUGCAUGCAGCCUCUAACAGUGGUCCUGGCUAUUCUCGGCUUUAAAUCUCUCAGGGCUUUCAGCAUUUCACAGGAAGCGGGCGUGGGUUCUGUAAUCUCAUCCUGAACACUAAAGUGGAAUUGUAGGCGUUAUUCAACACCAGGAGCAUAAAAAAGUGCAUUUCGUGGUGGUGGAAGGAGAGGGGUCCAGUGGAGAAGAAGGAGAAUGAGGGAAACGCUCCUUUCUGGCGAGGUGCUAGAGCCCACAGCUUCUGCAGGGUGGUGGAGUGAGAAUGAGCGGUCCUUUGCUUGCUGCUGUCUCUGUUCCCACACACUCCCUGUCACUAGCAUAUCCUCCCCGAUCGCUGAGCAGUGGCUCUGGAAGCUGCCAGAGCACUUGGCUGCUACGCCUGGACAUUCACCAAGCGCUAACUAGAAGAGGACAGAUAAACUGCAUAGAGAUGAACCAGCUGCUUAGAGGCAAAAAUCUCCUCUCUCUGCUCAGCCUGCUCGACUUGCCUGCCCCGCUUCCUUCCCAGAUGAACUGGUUCCCGCUCCCAAACCUCUCUCCAUGGGGCUAGUAUGGCGUCCCACCCAACAGGGAGCUGCAUAUUUCAACGAGGUGGCCGGUCUGUCUGACUGCAGCCAGCACAAGGGGGGCCGUAAGCUGCCAGGCUGCACCGGCAGAGGCUCUGCAAACCCCAAGAACAGGUGGGCUCAGCUGGGCUGCGAACUCAGGGUCAGCUUCUCCACAGCAUGGUGGUCCCUCAGUCCAGCAGCUCUUCGCAACAAACAGCGGCGGCUGUGUGCUGGGUGACGUUGACCACCCCAGAGAUCGCUACCUCCACUGCAGCAUGCUCGUGCAUCUGCAUGCGUCCGAAAGCUUAAUGGACUCCUGAGACUUUGGCCUACUGUAUUAGCAUAAGGAUUUUUUGCAUGGAGACAACUAAGCAGUAUUUUAAGCUUAACGCUCUAUAUGUAAAUUACAUGCAU